UACGUAGGGGGCGAGCGUUGUCCGAAUUUACUGGGCGUAAAGCGCGCGUAGGCGGGUUUUUAAGUUGGGGGUGAAAUGCCGAGGCUUAACCUCGGAACUGCCUCCAAAACUGGGGACCUUGAGGUAUGGAGAGGGAAGUGGAAUUCCUGGUGUAGCGGUGAAAUGCGUAGAUAUCAGGAGGAACACCUGUGGCGAAGGCGGCUCACUGGUCCGGUACUGACGCUGAGGUGCGAAAGCGUGGGGAGCAAACAGG
rnacentral:rRNA from 1 species